CCCUUAGAUGUUCUGGGCCGCACGCGCGCUACACUGAUGCAUUCAACGAGCCUAUCCUUGACCGACAGGUCCGGGUAAUCUUUGAAUCUGCAUCGUGACGGGGAUAGAUUAUUGCAAUUAUUAAUCUUCAACGAGGAAUGCCUAGUAAACGCAAGUCAUCAGCUUGCAUUGAUUACGUCCCUGCCCUUUGUACACACCGCCCGUCGCUCCUACCGAUUGAAUGAUCCGAUGAAUAUCAUGGAUUGAGGAUGCAAGCAGGUUCGCCUGUCUUCAUCUUCGAGAAGUGAAGUAAAUCUUAUCAUUUAGAGGAAGGAGAAGUCGUAACA
rnacentral:rRNA from 1 species